CGGAUCUUGUAUUUUAAAAAUGUUUCACAUUUUACUACAAUAUUCACUCUACAUGUAGAGGAAGCUGUUCAAAAAUGUAAACAUUUUUAAUUCAUUUCUCUUUCCUCUGUGCGUUGGUUUUCUUCAUUUCUUCAAGUUUCCUUUAUUUCAUUUCAGACCCCUCUCCCUCGUUCAUCAUUCCCACGGUUUCUCUUUGCUUGGCGCGAAAGACAGAACCAGCACCUUCCAUCGUUCCUCGACUUCGCUUCUCAACUCCAUCGCCGAUCAUCUGUUGUCUUCUUCAUCAAGCUUUGCCCUCACAGUUGAGGAACUCCUUUUGCACGGAAAAAAUGAAGAGCUAUAUCAGCAUUUAGCAGCUACAUUGGUUUCUCAGUUGUAUCCUUAGAUGUUUUGAUUCCAGCAAGUAGUUAAAAGGAGAAAACUCAGGAAGAUGAAGACUAACACAAACACGCAACCAAAAACCCAGAUGAGUGGGAAGACGAAGAUCCAGACGAUGCCAAGCUCUGUUUCAGUGUCUUUUUUCUUUCUUCCUCAUUUCUCCCCAGAUCAGAUGAGCAGGAAGAUGAAGACUAACAUGAACACGUAACUAAAAACCCAGACGAGCAGGAAGACAAAGAUCCAGACGAUGCCGAGCUUAAUGUCUUUUUUCUUUCUUUCUUAUUUCGAUUUCUAGCGGGGCUUCUUUUAUUUUCUAUGUCUUUUAUUUUUUUUAAAUCUGAUGUGGUGUCAUCGACUGCACACCGACUAUAUGUAACGACAGUAUGUAGAAGAAUUGUUCAAAGAAAGUCUCUAGAAUAAGGUUUUUGAGAAAA